rnacentral:rRNA from 1 species
UACGGGGGGGGCAAGCGUUGUUCGGAAUUACUGGGCGUAAAGGGGACGUAGGCGGCCAACUAAGUCCGACGUGAAAUCCCAAGGCUUAACCUUGGAACUGCGUCGGAUACUGGAUGGCUUGAAUUCGGGAGAGGGAUGCAGAAUUCCAGGUGUAGCGGUGAAAUGCGUAGAUAUCUGGAGGAAUACCGGUGGCGAAGGCGGCAUCCUGGACCGACAUUGACGCUGAAGGCCGAAAGCUAGGGGAGCAAACGGG